rnacentral:lncRNA from 1 species
UAUUAUUUUACCUUUUUUUUUGAGUGAUGGUUAUGCUAUAGUUUUCAAUUUCAGAGAAAAUGGAAAAUCAGGACACAGUUUCCUCUCCAGAAGUUCACCAACAGCAAGGAUUACCAAGAAGCUGGAGCAUCCCAGAGGAAGAAGCACCCACUCCUUGGCACUGCAGUGGGUCCCCCUUUCCUGGUGCUCUCCUCAGGAACUACCCUGGUUCCAAGCACCACCUUGGCUGUGUGUCUGUAUUGAGCCAUAUCCCAGGAGCUGAGAGGAGCCUGGCCAGCACCACACAUGAUCAGAAAUAGAAAUCCUGAGCUCAGCCAGCAGUGAUGGAAGAGUUUUGGCUGGAUGGUGCACAAAAAGCUUUGUGCAGUCACAGGUUGGUGGUGGGAAACUUUGCCAAAGCAAAAAAAUAAUCCCUCUCAAAAUUGCUCUCAUGGUCAUGUUGGGG